rnacentral:tRNA from 1 species
GGUGGGUUGCCAGAGAGGCCGAAUGGAGCCGCCUGUAAAGCGGCCGCACACGCCACGCAGGUUCGAAUCCUGCACCCACCA